AAAGAUUAAGCCAUGCAUGUCUAAGUAUAAGCAAUUAUACAGCGAAACUGCGAAUGGCUCAUUAAAACAGUUAUCGUUUAUUUGAUAGUACCUUACUACAUGGAUAACCGUGGUAAUUCUAGAGCUAAUACAUGCUGAAAAUCCCGACUUCGGAAGGGAUGUAUUUAUUAGAUUAAAAACCAAUGCCCUUCGGGGCUCCUUGGUGAUUCAUAAUAACUUCUCGAAUCGCACGGCCUUGCGCCGGCGAUGGUUCAUUCAAAUUUCUGCCCUAUCAACUUUCGACGGCUGGGUCUUGGCCAGCCAUGGUGA
rnacentral:rRNA from 1 species